UACGGAGGGUGCGAGCGUUGUCCGGAAUCAUUGGGCGUAAAGGGCGCGUAGGUGGCCCGGUGAGUCUUUGGUGAAAGCGCGGGGCUCAACCCUGCGUCGGCCAGGGAUACUGCCGCGGCUCGAGCACUGUAGAGGCAGGCGGAAUUCCGGGUGUAGCGGUGGAAUGCGUAGAGAUCCGGAAGAACACCGGUGGCGAAGGCGGCCUGCUGGGCAGUGGCUGACGCUGAGGCGCGACAGCGUGGGGAGCA
rnacentral:rRNA from 1 species